rnacentral:misc_RNA from 1 species
AGAAAAAACUGCCUUGUGUCAACUACUGCCCGCUCCCAAGUCCCAACCAGAACCAAGCGGCGGAGCGAUGGCGGCGUUUCGGUCUGCAUUCGAUGCCGGGGAGAUGAGAACCGAGUUCGAGAAGGCCGGCAUCAAACCCACCUUCAUCCCCUUCAUUUGGAAGCAUUUGCUUCACGAUCCAAACAACCUAUCCAGCCAGAAUCUGGCAUCCGAAUUCGAAUGGGAGCAAGCCGUGCCUUCGCUGCCGUCGGCGGCCUACUGCUUGCUCCGGUCAAAGUUCAAGCCUCUU